rnacentral:rRNA from 1 species
CCUACGGUAGGCAGCAGUGAGGAAUAUUGGUCAAUGGGCGCGAGCCUGAACCCGCCAAGUAGCGUGAAUGAUGACUGCCCUACGGGUUGUAAACUUCUUUUAUAAAGGAAUAAAGUGAGGCACGUGUGCCUUUUUGUAUGUACUUUAUGAAUAAGGAUCGGCUAACUCCGUGCCAGCAGCCGCGGUAAUACGGAGGAUGCGAGGGUUAUCCGGUUUUAUUGGGUUUACAGGGUGCGCAGUCGGUCUGUUAAGUCAGCGGUAAACGCCCGGGGCUAAACCCCGGCCGGCCGUUGAAACUGGCAGUAUCGAGGUGGAGAGAAGUAUGCGGAAUGCGCGGGGUAGCGGUGAAAUGCAUAGAUAUCGCGAAGAACUCCGAUUGCGAAGGCAGCAUGCCGGCUCCACACUGACGCUGAGGCACGAAAGCGUGGGUAUCGAACAGGAUUAGAUACCCCUGUAGUC